UUGAACGCUGGCGGCAUGCCUUACACAUGCAAGUCGAACGGUAACAGGUCUUCGGAUGCUGACGAGUGGCGAACGGGUGAGUAAUACAUCGGAACGUGCCCGAGAGUGGGGGAUAACGAAGCGAAAGCUUUGCUAAUACCGCAUACGAUCUCAGGAUGAAAGCAGGGGACCGCAAGGCCUUGCGCUCACGGAGCGGCCGAUGGCAGAUUAGGUAGUUGGUGGGAUAAAAGCUUACCAAGCCGACGAUCUGUAGCUGGUCUGAGAGGACGACCAGCCACACUGGGACUGAGACACGGCCCAGACUCCUACGGGAGGCAGCAGUGGGGAAUUUUGGACAAUGGGCGCAAGCCUGAUCCAGCCAUGCCGCGUGCAGGAUGAAGGCCUUCGGGUUGUAAACUGCUUUUGUACGGAACGAAAAGACUCUGGUUAAUACCUGGGGUCCAUGACGGUACCGUAAGAAUAAGCACCGGCUAACUACGUGCCAGCAGCCGCGGUAAUACGUAGGGUGCGAGCGUUAAUCGGAAUUACUGGGCGUAAAGCGUGCGCAGGCGGUUAUGUAAGACAGAUGUGAAAUCCCCGGGCUCAACCUGGGAACUGCAUUUGUGACUGCAUAGCUAGAGUACGGCAGAGGGGGAUGGAAUUCCGCGUGUAGCAGUGAAAUGCGUAGAUAUGCGGAGGAACACCGAUGGCGAAGGCAAUCCCCUGGGCCUGUACUGACGCUCAUGCACGAAAGCGUGGGGAGCAAACAGG
rnacentral:rRNA from 1 species